rnacentral:rRNA from 1 species
CCUACGGGGGGCAGCAGUGAGGAAUAUUGGUCAAUGGACGAGAGUCUGAACCAGCCAAGUAGCGUGAAGGAUGACUGCCCUAUGGGUUGUAAACUUCUUUUAUAAAGGAAUAAAACGAGGCACGUGUGCCUUUUUGCAUGUACUUUAUGAAUAAGGAUCGGCUAACUCCGUGCCAGCAGCCGCGGUAAUACGGAGGAUCCGAGCGUUAUCCGGAUUUAUUGGGUUUAAAGGGUGCGUAGAUGGGUUGUUAAGUUAGUUGUGAAAUUUUGCGGCUCAACCGUUAAAUUGCAAUUGAUACUGGCAGUCUUGAGUACAGUUGAGGUAGGCGGAAUGCGUGGUGUAGCGGUGAAAUGCUUAGAUAUCACGAAGAACCCCGAUUGCGAAGGCAGCUUACUAAACUGUGACUGACAUUGAUGCUCGAAAGUGUGGGGAGCAAACAGGAUUAGAUACCCCAGUAGUC